rnacentral:misc_RNA from 1 species
UGGUAGAAAUAAUAAAACAACACAUGGGUAGAAAUAAUUUGUUUACGACCAGCAAUAUAUUUCAUGAAUGACACAUUUUCUCAGUCGUAUUACUGCUAAAAAAUAAAUUCCGAUAAUGGUGGACCGCUUAGUGAAUAGUGAGGCAAAUGCUAGGAGAAUUGCAAUGGUGGAAAGCUGCUUCGGCAGCUCGGGACAGCCUCUGGCAGAACAAGGCAGAGUCCUUGUGGGAGAGGGUGUCUUGACUAAAAUGUGUCGCAAGAAACCCAAGGCUCGGCAGUUUUUCCUUUUCAACGACAUAUUGGUGUACGGUAAUAUUGUCAUAAACAAGAAGAAAUAUAACAAGCAACAUGUCAUUCCAUUAGAAGAGGUCAAAUUAGAAUCACUCAAGGAUGAAGGGCAAUACCGAAAUGGCUGGUUGAUACGCACUGCCUCCAAAUCGUUUGCUGUUUACGCCGCUACUGCCACUGAAAAAGAAGAAUGGAUGGCACACAUAGAGAAGUGUAUAGAAGACUUGUUAAGGAAGAGUGGCAAACAACCACCAUCAGAGCAUGCAGCUGUGUGGGUUCCAGACAAUGAAGCUGCUAUUUGUAUGCACUGCAAGAAGACACAGUUCACAGUGCUCAAUAGAAGACACCACUGCCGCAAGUGCGGGUCGGUGGUGUGCGGGCCGUGUUCGUCGAAGCGCUACAUCCUGCGCGGACAGAGCGACAAGCCGCUGCGCGUGUGCCUGCAGUGCUACGACGAGCUGAACCGCGAGCGCGCGCGCCCCAACCUGCCGCCCACCGCCAACACCACGCCAGUGAAAACAGACGCGGCGGGCUCGGGCGGCGACUCGUCCGCCGAUGAAGACAGCGACGACGACGACGACCGCGUCAACGCAGAGGAGAAACACGAUGAGGUACCAGGUUUGGCCAUCUAUGAGACAGAAUGGGUGGGUAACUAUCGAAAGGUGCGAACGGAUCUAUAACCAAACCAGUAGGGCUUUACAAGUUAUAACGGAGUCAAAAACGGAUUCGGAAAUAAAGUCACGACUGUAUAGUACAAAUUGAAAUUGUCCAAAGUUCUACGGUGACAGUGAUAAGACUGAAGAGACCAACAA